rnacentral:lncRNA from 1 species
ACACACACACAUACAAAUUCUCUUAUACACACGCACACGCACUUUUGUUUUGGGAUUACCAGCACUUUAUUAUCUCCCCUUCUCCCCAGCUCUCCUGUGUGACCCUUCUCUCCGGCAUUCGCCAUGAUAGAUCACUAGCCACUACACAUUCCCUAUUUUCUAUCCUUGUUUCUUUCUGUGUUCCUUUUUGUGGAAGAGCGUAGGCUCGAAACAUUAAAGACUUUUUCACUUCCCGAACAAUAUACGAAUGCAUCUGUUUGUUGUCUACACCACAUGUCUUCGUCUUUUGUUGUUUUUUGUCAAUUCUCUCUCUCUCUCUCUCUCUCUCUCUCUCUCUCUCUAUAUAUAUAUAUAUAUAUAUAUAUAUAUAUAUAUAUAUAUAUAUAUAUAUAUGCAUAUAUAUAUGUACUAUGUAUGUAUGUGUAUAUAUAUAUAUGCAUACACACACACAUAUAUAUAUAUAUAUAUAUAUAUAUAUAUAUAUAUAUAUAUAUAUAUAUAUAUAUAUAUAUAUAUAUAUGUAUAUGUAUAUACAUAUAUAUGUAUAUAUUGUAUAUAGAGGAUGCAAUGGGUAAAUUGUCGCAUUUUAUAUUCUUAAUUUCGUGUAUUGCUUGUUUUUGAUUUUAUCGACUAUACAGAAUAGUAGGGUCAGUUGGGCACCGUUUGUGAGAAAAAAGCACCACCAUGACGCAAGUCACUCUGCAAGAAAGUUGGAAACGACAUGCUGUACUGCUUGGCAUUUGCGCCGGAAGAUCCAAUACGAACAUUUCAGAGUGUUUGGGUGUCAAUCUUAGGACAGUGCAAUCUGAGGACAUGUAUCGAAAGUAAUAAAAAUCAAACAUCCAGUCAAUAUCAUAGUGUUUGGAAUGAUCACUAAUGAUGGCUACGUUAUGCCCUCAUUCGUCUUCCCUUAAGUCCUCAAACUCAACACAGAGGCCUACAUCAAGUGCCAGGAGGAGGUCGUGCUACCCUCCGUCAAGAGGGUAGCUGCUAGAAGACCUUACGUCUGGCAACAGGACUGUACACCAUGCUACACAAGCAGGAAAAUCCAGUCAUGGAUGUUAGGCAAUUUCUGUGACCACAUCACCCCUAACAUCUGGCCACCUAAGUCCCCAGACUGCAACCCCUUGAUUAUUAUGUGUGGGGCUUAGUUGAGCGAGAGACCAACAAGACUCCUUGUAAUACCAAAGAUGAACUGAAGGCAAGGAUUAUAGUAGCAUCCACCAACUUAAACAAGGAGACUGUCCAGAAGAGUUGUAGGAAAAUCUAAAGUCGUCUGGAGGUUAUUGUUGAAGCCAAUGGCGAUUUUAUUGAAUAAAUUUAUUCUUUAGUAUUUCAAGGUAUUUUUAUGUAAUUUUGGUAAAUCUGCCUGUAGAAAUGAUAUGUAAGUAAUAUUUUCAUUUUGGAGUAAUUUAGACGACAGGUUAUUAACCGCACCCUGUACACACAACACACACACACACGCUAUACAUAUAUGUGUGUUUUUGUAUGUAUAUAUAUAUAUACACACGCACACACAAAUCCCAUAUUGUAAUAGGAAGUGGGAUGUGGUGUGAUUUAUUUAAGGAACGUACGACAGACGCUGGGAGGAUGACCGUGCUGUGUUUCCGUUACAUACUUAGAUAUACCUACAUUAGCUCCCGUACAAUAAGGAUACACGCAAACACAGACACACACACGCUCACACAGACGCUCGCAUGAACAUAUACACAUAUAUUCUGGCAGUCAAUAUAUAUAUGUUUGUGUGUGAGUGAGUUUACACAUGUCUAUAAAACUUGGUUGUUGCCUUUGAAGCAUUCUUUUAACAAAGAUCGUUAAUAUAAAUAUAAGACUGAAAUAAAUAGAUAUCACCAACUAAAAACUCCCACAUCGUACGGUAACCAGUCCAACGACUGAAACUAGAAAAUCUAUAGAAAAAUAUUUUGUGGAGUAUUAUAAAAUGCAGCCAUAAUUUACCAUAUGUCAUUGACCAUGUGAGAAAAGCGUUAGCUGAUAUCUCAGCAGUCACACGUAAUACAUACAUAGACACAUACGUAUGUAUAUAUGUAUGUAUAUGUCGAUAAUUUAGAUGAAUGUUUCACUGAGAUUAUCUGUAUGACUGUGAUUGAGAUGUCUACUUAAAAUCACAGUUCCUUAAUUACACCCCUACUGUUUCAACUACAGACAAAUAGACAAGAGCAGCAGUAGCAGCAGAAGGAAGUAAUGUUGGAAAGAAGUUUUUCAUAAAUCUUUAUAUAUAAAAGUAAGGUUGUGUGUCUGUCUCCUACGAUUUAGAUUCCUAACUACUCCCACAUUUUGCGGUGCAGUUUAACCAAAACCGAGUAUCUUAUAGUCGUGAUUCAUAUCGAGCCCUUCUGGGUAUUAGCGCGCGUCUACGAUGAGUCUACGAUUUUAAAAAAAAUUUACCAUCAUUUUUUCCAUUUUAAUGCAGUUUUUCCGCUAAUAUAUAAGGGAAGUAACUCUCUAAAAAUGUCUACGAUGAGUCAACGAUUUAAAAAAAAAUUUACCAUCAUUUUUUUUCCAUUUUUAAUGCAUUUUUUUUUCUAGUUUUUGGCUAUAACUCUCUAAAAAUGCUUAUAUAGUUAUUUCCCUUACAAACCCGAGCAACGCCGGGCGAUACUGCUAGUUGGUUAUAAAGAUAUAUGAAAACAAAAAGAAAAGGAAAAGAAGAAAAUGGCCGCUAAGUUUUCCGCAAAUAGCUUUAGCCACUAAGGGAAAGAUGUCUGUCUAUGUAGUCUGUCUAUUUCUUAACAGCCUGACGUAUAUUUUGAAAAAAAUAAUAGCCUGACGUUUAUUUUUUUUUAAAAGGGUCACAUUAGAGCAUAUAGUAGUUAUAGAUAUCUAAAAAGGGCGGAUGGUUAAAACUAGAAAUAACAGCUAAAUAUCGAUCAAGUUCAUAAUUACUGUCGUAACAAGAUAAGGACACAUUCGUCAAUGUAGUAAACGUCGUGCUUCUGUCCGGUUAUACAUAAAAGACUGGGUAGAUACAGCUAGAAAUAGUAGCCAAAUCUUCAAAUAUCACCGUCUUAACAAAAAGAAAGAUACAUCCCAAAAUCUAACAAUCUUAAAUACGGCUUUGCAGCAUCGUGGCUUUGGAUGCUGUCCUCUUACUGAGCGGCACUGUGGGUAUGUAUCUUCUAUUGUAACUCAGGGCCGACCAAUGUCUUCUAAGGGAGUUUGGUAGAGGGAAACGGUGUGGAUAUCCAUCGUUUGUGUGUUCAUGCAUGUUUCCUUCUGUUUUUAAUUAUUUAAAUUCUCCCUCUGAUGACGAAAGAGCUGGUUUAUAACAAAGAUACAAAGCUUCAUCGAUGGAAUAUAGAUAACGAAAACAAAGUCAUAUCUUAAACUUGAGAAAAGACUUGCAUAUUUUCACCGUUCUACUUAUAUGUAUGUAUGUUUAUAUAUAUAUAUAUAUAUGUAUCAUCAUCAUCAUAUAUGUAUGUAUGUAUGUAUGUUUGCAUAUAUAUGUAUGUAAGUAUGUAUGUAUAUAUAUAUAUAUACGUAGAUAUAUGUUUUUCUGCAGUAACUGUGGAAAAAGAAGAAAAAUGAGGUAAGAAGCAGCAGUAGCAGCAGCAGUAGUAGUAGUAGUAGUAGUAGUAGUAGUAGUAGUAGUAGUAGUUAUGCAUAUCUAAUACUGUGAUCUGAAUAGGCACAAUUGGAGCGUCGUUGACAGAGCAUCAACAAUGAAACAACCGCUGCAACUUCCACAGAAACGUUGAAGUCUUAGCUUCGUUGAUGGCUGUCAAAACAAUACCGAAACAUAAGGGAGCUAGCUGGCAGAAUCGUUAGCACGCCGGGCGAAACGCUUAUCGGUAUUUCGUCUGAGUUCAAAUUCCGCCGAGGUUGACUUUGCCUUUCAUCCUUUCGGGGUCGAUUAAAUAAGUAACAGUCACGCACUGGGGUCGAUAUAAUCGACUUAAUCCGUUUUUCUGUCCUUGUUUGUCCCCUCUGUGUUUAGCCCCUUGUGGGUAGUAAAGAAAUAGGUAUUUUUGUCUGCCGCUACGUUCUGAGUUCAAAUUCCGUCAUGGUCGACUUUGCCUUUCAUCCUUUCGAGAUCGAUAAAUUAAGUACUAGUUGCAUAUUGGAGUCGAUCUAAUCGACUCGCCCCCUCCCCCAAAAUUUCGGGUCUUGUACAUAGAGUAGAAAAGAAUAAAGGUAAAGACCCCCUUCGGUCAUGAAUGACCAUGGGAUUGCACCUAGAAAGUUACCCUCCUAGACACAAGUCCGGGCAAGGUUGUUUUUAUGGAAGACCAGCAGUCGCCCAUGCAUACCAGUCUCCCCUCUCCACGCCACCAGUGUUAUCCAAGGGAAAGGCAAAGGUCGAUACAGUUUGGUACCUGUGACGUCGCAACUCAUUUCUACAGCUGAGUGAACUGGAGCAACGUGAAAAAUAAAGUGCUUUGCUCAAGAACACAACACGCAGCCCAGACCGGGAUUCGAGCUCACAACCUCACGAUCGUAAGCUCGACGCUCUAACCACUGAAUAAUACCGAAAAGAAUAAUACCGAAACAUUACGCAGUUGUCUCCCCUACUUCCAAACGUAGGCAAAUAAUAUUAUUAAUCACUGAUUAAUUCUAUUUUCUUAUUCUUCACGUAAUUAUUUCCAGUUAUCUUUUGAACUGUACUUACAUUAAACAUGUUAACACUAACGUAACAAACCGCCCCCCCCCCCCCAAUCGUUAGAUCAACAAUAAGAAACUAGAAAAACAUCGAUGAUUUAAUUUCCUGUCAUUAUCUAAAACCACCAAAAAUAAGUCUUAAAAGUAUCGAGAAUAUGGCGACAAAUUAUAAAAUAAUAAUAUUCUAUUAAUAACGUCGUCGUGAAUUUGCUCAAAACAUAAACAUCUCUAGAAACAUCGUACAGAAAUAAAUAUCUAAUGUAAGACACACCCAUUAAUUCCGCUUAUAUUAUUUUAGUUUGUUAUUUAUAGACAUUAAACCGUAAAGAAAUAUAAGGAGAUAAAAAGGGAAUAAACUACGGAAGGAAAAUUGUGUGAAU